UACGUGGGGGCCGAGCGUUGUCCGGAGUUACUGGGCGUAAAGGGCGCGCAGGCGGCGGCGUGGGUCCGGCGUGAAAGCCCCGGCUCAACCGGGGAACGUCGUCGGGGACCGCGCCGCUUGAGGGCGGCAGGGGCCGGUGGAAUGCCUGGUGUAGUGGUGAAAUGCGUAGAGAUCAGGCGGAACACCCGUGGCGAAGGCGGCCGGCCUGGGCCGUCCCUGACGCUGAGG
rnacentral:rRNA from 1 species